AUUGAACGCUGGCGGCAGGCCUAACACAUGCAAGUCGAGCGGAUGAAGGGAGCUUGCUCCUUGAUUCAGCGGCGGACGGGUGAGUAAUGCCUAGGAAUCUGCCUGGUAGUGGGGGAUAACGUCCGGAAACGGGCGCUAAUACCGCAUACGUCCUGAGGGAGAAAGUGGGGGAUCUUCGGACCUCCCGCUAUCAGAUGAGCCUAGGUCGGAUUAGCUAGUUGGUGGGGUAAAGGCCUACCAAGGCGACGAUCCGUAACUGGUCUGAGAGGAUGAUCAGUCACACUGGAACUGAGACACGGUCCAGACUCCUACGGGAGGCAGCAGUGGGGAAUAUUGGACAAUGGGCGAAAGCCUGAUCCAGCCAUGCCGCGUGUGUGAAGAAGGUCUUCGGAUUGUAAAGCACUUUAAGUUGGGAGGAAGGGCAGUAAGUUAAUACCUUGCUGUUUUGACGGUACCAACAGAAUAAGCACCGGCUAACUUCGUG
rnacentral:rRNA from 1 species